rnacentral:rRNA from 2 species
CAAAACUUUUAACAACGGAUCUCUUGGUUCUGGCAUCGAUGAAGAACGCAGCGAAAUGCGAUAAGUAAUGUGAAUUGCAGAAUUCAGUGAAUCAUCGAAUCUUUGAACGCACAUUGCGCCCCUCGGUAUUCCGGGGGGCAUGCCUGUUCGAGCGUCAU